rnacentral:rRNA from 1 species
AUGAUUUUGACCAAAAAGGGGUCUAGCAAAAUCGAUAUCCCGCACUUUUUCAUAAUUUUUGGAGGCUGCUUAAAAUUGCAACACGAACAAUUCGUAAGGCGCACCUCCUGUCACCAUCAAACGCAUCUCCGCGCUGCCACUGUUCGGUGUCACCUCCGUCCCUCAACCAUCGUGAUUUGGCCUUGCUCACCUCCUAUGAGCCGUUCUCGGACCUCACACGCUUCAUAUCAGUAUCUGCGGGUAUCGUGGUUAAGUUUUAUGGAGAUCAGUAUCUGUGAGCACCCAAUGUCGAGGACAUUGUGA